AGAUCUAUAUCUAUCUAUCUCUCUCUCACUACAUAUCGUAGUAUAAUCCACUUCUACACUGUAAGUGUACAUGUUCAGCAUGGUCCACAGUACAGGUCUUUACACAGCAUCUGUUUGUCUCCAGCUGUUUUCAGUCAUGACCAAUGCAGGCAAACACGUGCUACAAACACUAACUUUGUAUUUUUAAAUGACAAAUGGAAGCUGUGCAAAAAGUUAUACUUUGGCAUUUUGUAGCGAAUGUCAGACACGCUGUGAAUAUACAUUUCUAAACCAUAUGAUAGCUUACUUUAUCAUGUCUGUGUGUGUAUACAUAUACAUGUGUAUAUGUAUAUAUGAUUUUCGGUGUCUCAACAUCUUCUUUUGUUUCCAGUUGUAGAGGCAGAUGACUCUGAGGAUGAGGAGCAGGAGCUGGGGGGGCUGUUCCAUGUCAGCCGCCCUCAGAAGAGCAAAAAGUUCCAAUCAAAUGCGGUCGACAGCUCCCAUUUCAAUCCUGACACCUCCAACAACUGGGACUUGGAGGAGAUGCUGAACUCCAUCAGGGACUGCUUUGUUACAGGGAAGUGGGAUGAGAGCCAAGAUGCUGCCACGCUGCUGAAGGAGGACGAGGAGCUGUAUGGCGACUUUGAGGAUUUGGAAACGGGAGACGUUCACAAGGGCCAAACCGGGCAGCAGGAUCAGCCAGAGGUACGUCUUCUUAGUGAUGGACCACUGGAGCAUUAUGCAGUUAUGAUGACGCUUGUUCAUUUGAACACAGCAUCCACUGCAGUGCUGAUAUCCAGCGUUCCAGUAAUCUCUGUUAAUCUCUGUAAACUGAUUCUGCGUUCACAAUCAAGAUGACAAGCUUCUUAAAAACAACAACACUGUGUUUAUUUUUAAUUCAGUUUACAUGCAGAGAGCGGCUCAGAUGCACUGGGAGUAGUGCUGUGAUGCUGCAGUGACUGAGAUCAAUGCAAACACAGACCUCACUGCUCCCAUUGCAUCAAAUAAAGUCAACUUUUAUUAUCCUGAUUCUAUGCAUAUGUUGGUGUCUUUAUACUAUGACAGCUUUCCUCAAAUUAGAUUGACAGUUUCUCUAUGUAUCACCACAUGUUGUAUCAGGACGUGUAACGUGUAACACAGCCUGAGCAACAAAACGCUCAUUUCCUGUCUUUCCCAUUUCAACAAACUUGUGUUUAACUGGAGACGAGUCUGACAACAAGUGUUUACACGUGUUGUCUCAGAGGGAUGUGAUACAGGAAGAUGAUUGAGUUAUAUAUCCUUGGGUGAUAUGUAUGACAGGGCCACAAUGUCUAGUGUUCUGCUAGGGCUGCACCAAGUAGUUGAACGCUUCAUUCAUAAGGUUGACAAUUAUUACUAUUAUUGGUAACUUUGAAACAUUGCGAGCUAUAAUCCACUGUCCCAGUACUUAACAGACUGCCGUGUGUGUGUGUGUGUGUGUGUGUGUGUGUGUGUGUGUGUGU